rnacentral:rRNA from 1 species
UACCCGCAGCUCAAGUGGUGGUCAUUAUUAUUGGGCCUAAAGCGUCCGUAGCUGGCUUGUUAGAUGCCUGGGUAAAUCGAUGCGCUUAACGUAUCGAAUUCCGGGUAGACCGGCAAGCUCGAGACCGGGAGAGGCGUGAGCUACUCGAGGGGUAGGGGUAAAAUCCUGUAAUCCUUCGGGGAGGACCAGUGGCGAAGGCGUCACGCUAGAACGGCUCUGACAGUGAGGGACGAAGGCCCUGGGGACGCAAACCCGG